CUUGCUCCCUUAGGUCAGCGGCGGACGGGUGAGUAACACGUGGGUAACCUGCCUGUAAGACUGGGAUAACUCCGGGAAACCGGGGCUAAUACCGGAUGCUUGAUUGAACCGCAUGGUUCAAUCAUAAAAGGUGGCUUUUAGCUACCACUUGCAGAUGGACCCGCGGCGCAUUAGCUAGUUGGUGAGGUAACGGCUCACCAAGGCGACGAUGCGUAGCCGACCUGAGAGGGUGAUCGGCCACACUGGGACUGAGACACGGCCCAGACUCCUACGGGAGGCAGCAGUAGGGAAUCUUCCGCAAUGGACGAAAGUCUGACGGAGCAACGCCGCGUGAGUGAUGAAGGUUUUCGGAUCGUAAAACUCUGUUGUUAGGGAAGAACAAGUACCGUUCGAAUAGGGCGGCACCUUGACGGUACCUAACCAGAAAGCCACGGCUAACUACGUGCCAGCAGCCGCGGUAAUACGUAGGUGGCAAGCGUUGUCCGGAAUUAUUGGGCGUAAAGCGCGCGCAGGCGGUUUCUUAAGUCUGAUGUGAAAGCCCCCGGCUCAACCGGGGAGGGUCAUUGGAAACUGGGGAACUUGAGUGCAGAAGAGGAGAGUGGAAUUCCCACGUGUAGCGGUGAAAUGCGUAGAGAUGUGGAGGAACACCAGUGGCGAAGGCGACUCUCUGGUCUGUAACUGACGCUGAGGCGCGAAAGCGUGGGGAGCGAACAGGAUUAGAUACCCUGGUAGUCCACGCCGUAAACGAUGAGUGCUAAGUGUUAGAGGGUUUCCGCCCUUUAGUGCUGCAGCAAACGCAUUAAGCACUCCGCCUGGGGAGUACGGUCGCAAGACUGAAACUCAAAGGAAUUGACGGGGGGCCCGCACAAGCGGUGGAGCAUGUGGUUUAAUUUCGAAGCAACGCGAAGAACCUUACCAGGUCUUGACAUCCUCUGACAACCCUAGAGAUAGGGCUUCCCCUUCGGGGGCAGAGUGACAGGUGGUGCAUGGUUGUCGUCAGCUCGUGUCGUGAGAUGUUGGGUUAAGUCCCGCAACGAGCGCAACCCUUGAUCUUAGUUGCCAGCAUUCAGUUGGGCACUCUAAGGUGACUGCCGGUGACAAACCGGAGGAAGGUGGGGAUGACGUCAAAUCAUCAUGCCCCUUAUGACCUGGGCUACACACGUGCUACAAUGGGCAGAACAAAGGGCAGCGAAGCCGCGAGGCUAAGCCAAUCCCACAAAUCUGUUCUCAGUUCGGAUCGCAGUCUGCAACUCGACUGCGUGAAGCUGGAAUCGCUAGUAAUCGCGGAUCAGCAUGCCGCGGUGAAUACGUUCCCGGGCCUUGUACACACCGCCCGUCACACCACGAGAGUUUGUAACACCCGAAGUCGGUGAGGUAACCUUUUGGAGCCAGCCGCCGAAGGUGGGACAGAUG
rnacentral:rRNA from 2 species